ACAGGGUCUAUAUCAGAUCAAUUGAAUAAAAAAUCUUUAUUUGUCCCAGAAACUACAGAUAUACCUAGUUGACAUCAUACAACUAAAUAUAUGUAAAAAAACUAAAAUUAGGUUGUACUGUCAAAAACAACCUAAAAGUUUUUUUUCUAGAGACCAUACUUCUAAAGGUAGCUUGUUGAAAAUUUGCAUGAGAUUAAACUGAACAUUUCUUUGAAUGAAACUAAAAUUGCACUUAAUGUUUCUUAAAACAUGUUUAUAUCUGGUGAUGUAUUCUUCGGUACUCUCAGAAUAAAGUCAGGAUUUUCCUUGACACAAAUUAAAGCCUCCAGAAAAUAAGUUGAUGUUUCUCUUGUUUUAAGGUUGUAUAUAUUUAUGAUGCAAUGUCACCCCAGAAGGCAACUUCAUACCUUGGUUGAGAGUGGACAUACAACUAAUAGACAUAAUAUGCAAUUUUUUAUGUCCUUGAUCCUAUUUUAGUUAUUUCUGUUGUUUGUUUAUGAUUGACUUGAUAAUAUUUCCAUCAUAAACUGGCUAGACUUUUAUUGUUAUUAUUUAUUAAUUUUUGUCUAGUACCUUAGUAUAUCCUCAUUUAUGUUCUUACAGUUUCCAUGAUAUGAUUAUGCCAUUAUAAAAAUGCAUAAAAAAAUAAAUAGAUUGUGCUAUUGUUUUGCA